rnacentral:piRNA from 1 species
UCCUGGUGUAGUUUUGGUCUGAAAAUUA